rnacentral:rRNA from 1 species
CCGCUGAACUUAAGCAUAUCAAUAAGCGGAGGAAAAGAAACUAACAAGGAUUCUCUUAGUAGCGGCGAGCGAACAGAGAUUAGCCCAUAACCGAAUCCUUCAUCGUAAGAUGAUAGGAAAUGUGGUGUUUGGUUCUGAAUCCUACGGCAUGUUGGAGUCGUUCUAAGUCCAUGUGAUUAUGGCUUCAAGUCCAUAGAGGGUGUAAGUCCCGUAUGAACGAUACAGCAUGUCCAGGAGCGGUUCCUAGAGUCGGGUUGUUUGGGAUUGCAGCCCUAAUCAGGUGGUAAACUCCAUCUAAGGCUAAAUAUAACACGAGUCCGAUAGCGAACAAGUACCAUGAGGGAAAGUUGAAAAGAACUUUGAAGAGAGAGUUCAAUAGUGCGUGAAACCGGUCAAUGGAAAACCAGGAAGUGCUGAGGUGGAGUAUGUGGUAGUUGUUGGGUUAACUUGGUUUGCAUGGAGUGCGGUCACUUUAUUGGACGGCUUUGUGCGAGUCGGGUUAACCUUUCUAUUGCCCUUAUCUCGACACACCGGUUAGUUCGUACAUGGUCUGUCAUAGCGUGGAAGGUGGCUUGCCUCGCAAGUGUUAUAGCCACGCUGUACAGUACCGUACGUGAACUAUGUUUGGUAUAGCAUGGGUCAUACUGCCUGCUACAGUUACGAGGUUGCUGUGGGAACUCAUACGAGAUCUCAUGGUAUUCUGAAUGGCAGUAGUAGGUCUCUGUGAUUCAUGUCCAAAAUUCGGUGUGAUAUAGUAGGCAUACUUCCUGACCCGUCUUGAAACACGGACCAAGGAGUUUAACAUGUACGCGAGUCAUUGGGUCGUACGAAACCUAAAGGCGCAGUGAAAGUAAAGACUUGGCCAUCCAAGUUCAGGCACGAUCCCGGAACUGAUGGUCUUCUUGAACACAGUCUGGGCGCAGUGCCGGCUCGUCCCAUGUUUUAUUAAGCGGGGCGACGCAAGAGCGUACAUGUUGAGACCCGAAAGAUGGUGAACUAUGCUUGAGCAGGAUGAAGCCAGAGGAAACUCUGGUGGAAGUCCGUAGCGAUUCUGACGUGCAAAUCGAUCGUCUGACUUGAGUAUAGGGGCGAAAGACUAAUCGAACCAUCUAGUAGCUGGUUCCCUCCGAAGUUUCCCUCAGGAUAGCAGGCACUUGGGAAUCAAACAGUUUUAUCCGGUAAAGCGAAUGAUUAGCAGUAUUGGGGAAGAAAUUUCCUCAACUGAUUCUCAAACUUUAAAUGGGUGAGAAGCUCAACUCUCUUUAUUGGAGUUGUGCAUUGAAUGUGAGUGCCUAGUGGGCCAUUUUUGGUAAGCAGAACUGGCGCUGUGGGAUGAACCAAACGUUUGGUUAAGGAGCCAAACAUAACGCUCAUGAGAAACCACAAAAGGUGUUGGUUGAUUUUGACAGCAGGACGGUGGCCAUGGAAGUCGGAAUCCGCUAAGGAGUGUGUAACAACUCACCUGCCGAAUCAACCAGCCCUGAAAAUGGAUGGCGCUGGAGCGUUGGUCCUAUACCAAACCGUUACUGCGAUUCAAUGUAUGCAGUAACGAGUAGGAGGGCGCCGUGGUGAGCAUUGAAGCCUAGACCGUGAGGUUGGGUGGAGCCGCCACGGGUGCAGAUCUUGGUGGUAGUAGCAAAUAUUCAAGUGAGAACCUUGAAGACUGAAGUGGAGAAGGGUUCC